CGGACGAAGCUCUUGAUCGAAGCCCCGGUAAACGGCGGCCGUAACUAUAACGGUCCUAAGGUAGCGAAAUUCCUUGUCGGGUAAGUUCCGACCUGCACGAAUGGCGUAAUGAUGGCCACGCUGUCUCCACCCGAGACUCAGUGAAAUUGAAAUCGCUGUGAAGAUGCAGUGUACCCGCGGCUAGACGGAAAGACCCCGUGAACCUUUACUACAGCUUGGCACUGAACAUUGAACCUACAUGUGUAGGAUAGGUGGGAGGCUUUGAAACGCAGUCGCCAGAUUGCGUGGAGCCGUCCUUGAAAUACCACCCUUGUAGCUUUGAUGUUCUAACUUGGCUCCCUUAUCGGGAGUGAGGACAGUGCCUGGUGGGUAGUUUGACUGGGGCGGUCUCCUCCCAAAGAGUAACGGAGGAGCACGAAGGUGGGCUAAACACGGUUGGACAUCGUGUGGUUAGUGCAAUGGCAUAAGCCCGCUUGACUGCGAGAAUGACAAUUCGAGCAGGUGCGAAAGCAGGUCAUAGUGAUCCGGUGGUUCUGAAUGGAAGGGCCAUCGCUCAACGGAUAAAAGGUACUCCGGGGAUAACAGGCUGAUACCGCCCAAGAGUUCAUAUCGACGGCGGUGUUUGGCACCUCGAUGUCGGCUCAUCACAUCCUGGGGCUGAAGUCGGUCCCAAGGGUAUGGCUGUUCGCCAUUUAAAGUGGUACGCGAGCUGGGUUUAGAACGUCGUGAGACAGUUCGGUCCCUAUCUGCCGUGGGCGUUGGAAGAUUGAAGGGGGCUGCUCCUAGUACGAGAGGACCGGAGUGGACGAACCUCUGGUGUUCGGGUUGUCAUGCCAAUGGCAUUGCCCGGUAGCUAAGUUCGGAAUCGAUAACCGCUGAAAGCAUCUAAGCGGGAAGCGAGCCCUGAGAUGAGUCUUCCCUGAUACUUUAAGUAUCCUGAAGGGUUGUUCGAGACCAGAACGUUGAUAGGCAGGGUGUGUAAGCGUUGUGAGGCGUUGAGCUAACCUGUACUAAUUGCCCGUGAGGCUUAACCAU
rnacentral:rRNA from 1 species